CGGGCUUGGGCAGAGAUCGGAAGCAUGUUCGGCAUGUCGACAGCCACAUCACAGCAGAAGAGGCUAAGGAGAGAUCACCGCCUCGGCCAAGCCAUGCAG